rnacentral:rRNA from 12 species
GACACGGCCCGAACUCCUACGGGAGGCAGCAGUGGGGAAUAUUGGACAAUGGGGGCAACCCUGAUCCAGCCAUGCCGCGUGUGUGAAGAAGGCUUUCGGGUUGUAAAGCACUUUCAGUGAGGAGGAAAAGUUAGUCCUUAAUACGGGCUAGCCUUGACGUUACUCACAGAAGAAGCACCGGCUAACUCCGUGCCAGCAGCCGCGGUAAUACGGAGGGAGCAAGCGUUAAUCGGAAUUACUGGGCGUAAAGCGCACGCAGGCGGUUUGUUAAGCUAGAUGUGAAAGCCCCGGGCUCAACCUGGGAUGGUCAUUUAGAACUGGCAGACUAGAGUCUUGGAGAGGGGAGUGGAAUUCCAGGUGUAGCGGUGAAAUGCGUAGAUAUCUGGAGGAACAUCAGUGGCGAAGGCGGCUCCCUGGCCAAAGACUGACGCUCAUGUGCGAAAGUGUGGGUAGCGAACAGGAUUAGAUACCCUGGUAGUCCACACCGUAAACGCUGUCUACUAGCUGUUUGUGAAUUUAAUUCGUGAGUAGCGAAGCUAACGCGAUAAGUAGACCGCCUGGGGAGUACGGCCGCAAGGUUAAAACUCAAAUGAAUUGACGGGGGCCCGCACAAGCGGUGGAGCAUGUGGUUUAAUUCGACGCAACGCGAAGAACCUUACCUACACUUGACAUGCAGAGAACUUUCCAGAGAUGGAUUGGUGCCUUCGGGAACUCUGACACAGGUGCUGCAUGGCCGUCGUCAGCUCGUGUCGUGAGAUGUUGGGUUAAGUCCCGCAACGAGCGCAACCCUCGCCUUUAGUUGCCAGCAUUUAGUUGGGCACUCUAGAGGGACUGCCGGUGAUAAGCCGGAGGAAGGUGGGGAUGACGUCAAGUCCUCAUGGCCCUUAUGGGUUGGGCUACACACGUGCUACAAUGGCGGCGACAGAGGGCAGCGACCCCGCGAGGGUGAGCUAAUCUCCAAAAGCCGUCUCAGUUCGGAUUGUUCUCUGCAACUCGAGAGCAUGAAGGUGGAAUCGCUAGUAAUCGCAGAACAGCAUGCUGCGGUGAAUACGUUCCCGGGCCUUGUACACACCGCCCGUCACAUCAUGGGAGUUGGCUUUACCCGAAGGUGGUGCGCUAACCUAGCAAUAGGAGGCAGCCAACCACGGUAAGGUCAGCGACUGGGAUGAAGUCGAAACAAGGUAGCCCUAGGGGAACCUGGGGCUGGAUCACCUCCUU